rnacentral:lncRNA from 1 species
AUAUUGAAAAAGAAGGAUGUCUCAAAUAUCGAUGCCAUUGAUGGAGAGAGGUCAGGCUGGAGUCGGAAGUAGUUUGAAGAGCCUGAGUAGAGAACAUGUUAGACGAGGGAGCAUCUAAAUAAUAGAGACCACCAACUGCACUACCACUGCCAAUCUUCUGUCCCGUCACCAUGUUCUGAAAAACACAAUGAGUUGAGAAAAAAGUUACUGAACACUGUAGAGAUUCAGAAAGACGUUAGACAGAUAAUAAAUUUGCAUUAAAGGAAGGAAUAUGAAGAACAAAUGAUAAUGUUAAUGAAGGAGUACAAACUACAGAACCACUCAUAGAGAUAGAAGAAAGGGAACCAUCAGCUACUCGAAUCUUGUCUUUUUCAGAGCAAGGCAUGUAUGAAGUAAAGAGUUUGGAGGACCCGGUCAUAUGCUCGAAAGCACCUGUGUCUAUGAUCCAACUAGGGUAAGUUGAUGAAACAUGAAAAACACAAGAAUGUAUACCUGACUGGGCAUAAUGAGAAGUAGAUUUGGAACAAAAUUUCUGAGAAAUUGAGAUUUCCUCAAGAGUGAGUGCAGUAGUAGUUUCUGAAGUACUGGAUGCAUCAACAAGAAGUGGUGUAGUAGACAUAUAGGUCUGGGAUCCACGUUCACGACCAGACUGACC